CGACUGAACCGGCAAUAGCUCGAAAUUGGAAUCGUUGAUUCAAAGAAUCUUCGAAUUGUAAUCAGGUUCGCCGAAAUACGGAAGUGCACUUAAACAGGUCGAAUCCUGUUGCCGAAGAGGGUGCAAGCCCCGUAAAGUGUUCAUCCGAAACAGGGGAAUCUCCAAAGAGUCGGGUUGCUUGGAACUGCAGCCCUAAGCGGGAGAUAUGAAUCUUCCAAAGCUAAAUAUGGAUGGGAGACCGAUAGCGAACAAGUACUGUGAAGGAAAGAUGAAAAGGACUUUGAAAAGAGAGUGAAAAGAUCUGAAAUCGUUGAGAAGGAAGCGGUAAAAACUGAUGAUCGUGUUUGAUGAAUAUCACGUUUAAAAGACGUGUAGUUUCAACCAGCGCGAUGGGCAAAAUGAAGUCUCCCACAUCAAAAAAGGCUU
rnacentral:rRNA from 1 species